rnacentral:rRNA from 1 species
AUACGUAGGGAGCGAGCGUUACCCGGAAUUACUGGGCGUAAAGAGCACGUAGGCGGUUGGAUAAGUCUUCUGUGAAAUCCCCGGGCUCAACCUGGGAAUUGCAUACGAAACUGUCAAGCUAGAGUAUGGUAGAGGUGAGUGGAAUUCCUGGUGUAGCGGUGAAAUGCGUAGAUAUCAGGAGGAACAUCAGUGGCGAAGGCGACUCACUGGACUAAUACUGACGCUGAGGUGCGAAAGCGUGGGGAGCAAACAGGAUUAGAUACCCCAGUAGUCC